GUUACGGUUGCCAUGGUUACAGGGUGACGCUCUCUCUCUGCGUGUUUCCUGGGUGAGAGAGCGCCUUUGUGUUGUUGUUGUUGUGCUAAGCUAAUAGGCAGACUGCUACAGGCAUAGCUCUAAAGAAUGUAGCAUCAUGGGCAGUGUAGUCCGUGCUGCAGGGAGAAUGGACUACCAUACCCGUUAUGUGUCUGUGAGCGAGGGAGGGAGAGAAAGGAAAAGUCCGAGCUGUCACGGAGCAAAAACGGGAGCUGGAAGCAUGUAAAUAUAAUAAUAACCACCGCAGCCAAGAAGAGUGCCUGACGAGCCCAUUUUACAUGAGGAUCUGCAAGGACCGGGAGCCGUCGUCAGUCCCCUCCGAGGCCUUCCCCAAACCGCAGCUCAAUUCAUGUCCAAGCAUUCACCUUUACCUACUAAAACGCUGUCAAACCUAAAAUGAGGACGUGGGCCCAGCUAGUGAAUUAGAG
ensembl:lncRNA